rnacentral:lncRNA from 10 species
GGCAAGGCCAGCCGCCCCCUGUCUUCCCUCUGGAGCUGUUUGAGGAAUGCAGUUCUUUUGCAUAAGAAAGGCUUUUCUCUCCAGUCAUUCUGCUUGCUGAUCAAGAACACUUAACAGCUUCAGGCUUUCCUGAUACUUUGACGAAGGUAAUUGGGACUCCCAUCAAGUCUCCACACAGCUAGCAGCCACGUGGGGCACUUCUCCAGCAUAUGUAAGUGGAACUCAGAAGGCAACAUUCCCUGAACAUACUCUUCCACCAGAAUCUCCUCUACAGAUUUUUGCUGCCCCUUUUACCAGUGGCUGAAUCUACUUUCUCUUAUGUUUUGCUCCAUCACCCAGGCGGAGUGCAGUGGUGCCAUCACAGCUUACUGCAGUCUCCACCUCUCAGGCUCAAGUGAUUCUCCUACCUCAGCCUCCCGAGUAGCUGGGACCAGAGGGAUCGCUUACACCUGAGACGAACUACAGAACAGCACGUACCAGAGGUGGAAGUCCAAGUCAAACGCAGAAGGACUGCCUCACUGAGCAACCAAGAGUGUCAGUUGUACCCGAGGCGUUCUCAGCAGCAGCAAGUACCUGUGGUGGAUUUCCAGGCUGAACUGAGGCAGGCAUUCUUAGCUGAGACACCAAGAGGUGGUUAAAGCCAUAUUGGAGUAGCGAGGAAUCUGAUUCCAAGCAAAAACCAGGCUCCAUCUACUCUUUGAAGCUUCUGCCCAGCUUGCAUUGUUUCUAGGAGAAC